GGCUGGAGGGAGGUGAGUUCUGGAGGGAGCGGCGGCGGCUGGAGGUGAGUUCUGGAGGGAGCGGCGGCGGCGGCUGGAGGUGAGGUCUGGAGGUGAGUUCUGGAGGGAGCGGCGGCGGCUGGAGGUGAGGUCUGGAGGUGAGUUCUGGAGGGAGCGGCGGCUGGAGGGAGGUGAGUUCUGGAGGGAGCGGCGGCUGGAGGUGAGGUCUGGAGGUGAGGUCAGGGGGGAGCGGCGGCUGGAGGUGAGGCCAGGAGGCCCUGAAGCGGCGGCUGGAGGUGAGGCCAGGAGGCCCUGAAGCGGCGGCUGGAGAUCAGAUGCGGAGGCCAGGAGAAGGACAAUUCAACGGCUGCUGAAGGAAGGACUGAGGCGGUCGUCUGGAGGUCCUUCUGUCGAAGGUCCCUGCGGUGGUCAGCUGGAGGUACUCGUGGCAGAGACCCAGUAUGGUGACUGAGCAGUCGAUCUACACAAGCGUCCUACUCCCCUCCACCCUGAAGAUCCAUGGCUACACCUGCACACCCUACAGCUUCAUGCAUCGACACCCAACAUCACCAAUCUAAGCUACACUCCCACCCAUACUGACAACACUCACCGCUGUUUUAACUUUUAAAACAAACUACAUUAUGUCUCUCCACAUUUUUGGGGAAGUAUGUUGAGGUUGAUCUUGAUUUGUCUGUUUUAAUUGUAUACACACUAUCUAUGAUCUUAGCUGUUGUGUUUCUGACAGCAGUAGCCCUUUUUAAGGGAGCGACUAAAGAGACAAGGCUGGAAAAAACCUGAGCACUUAUCUUAACCCUCUUUCUAACCUUAAUGCUGCAAUUUAACCACUUCUAACAAGGCCUAAAGUAACUUGACUCGUUAACCUAAUACCUAAACGUGACAAUCUAACUGAAACAUCUCGAAUACCUAAACCUCUAAAAUGACAAACUCUCUUAGCUAAACUUGACCUAAUAUCUAAACGCCUCUAAAAUGCCUAAACUCUCGUUCAUAAAUGCCCAACUCUCUUAACCUAAUAUCUAAACCUUUCAAAUGCCCAAAUUCGCUCACUUAAAACCUAAACACGGCGAUCUUUCAUAUAAUGAGUUAUAUUUAAAAAAUGUUGCCUAAAAUGUCCUAUUUAAAAGGUUGCGCAUAGUUAUCAAUCCUUAAUCUUAAACUAGACGGUUUAAACUCAGACUAAGCCAGACUUGUCCCUUUGUCGCUCUACUUGUAUUUUUAAAGGUUUCUCUUUUUCCCUGUCGGGUUUUGAGUUUUUCUCCUUGAGGGCUUUAUGUUUUGCAUGAAAUUUGAACACUUGUUGCGUCAUAAAUAAACAUGCUUUAUCUUUA